ACUCCUACGGGAGGCAGCAGUGGGGAAUAUUGCACAAUGGGGGAAACCCUGAUGCAGCCAUGCCGCGUGUGUGAAGAAGGCCUUCGGGUUGUAAAGCACUUUCAGUAGGGAGGAAGGUAGUGUAGUUAACACCUGCAUUAUUUGUACGUUACCUACAGAAGAAGCACCGGCUAACUCCGUGCCAGCAGCCGCGGUAAGUACGGAGGGUGCGAGCGUUAAUCGGAAUUACUGGGCGUAAAGCGCAUGCGAGGCGGCUUGUUAAGUCAGAUGUGAAAGCCCGGGGUCUUAACCUCGGAAUUGCAUUUGAAACUGGCAGGCUAGAGUCUUGGUAGGAGGGGGUUAGAAUUUCA
rnacentral:rRNA from 1 species